UCUGUUUGAUCCUGGCUCAGAUUGAACGCUGGCGGUAUGCUUAACACAUGCAAGUCGAACGGUAACAGCAAGAGCUUGCUCUUGGCUGACGAGUGGCGGACGGGUGAGUAACGCGUAGGAAUCUGCCUAGUAGUGGGGGACAACUCGAGGAAACUCGAGCUAAUACCGCAUACGCCCUACGGGGGAAAGCAGGGGAUCUUCGGACCUUGCGCUAUUAGAUGAGCCUGCGUUGGAUUAGCUAGUUGGUAAGGUAAUGGCUUACCAAGGCGACGAUCCAUAGCUGGUCUGAGAGGACGAUCAGCCACACUGGGACUGAGACACGGCCCAGACUCCUACGGGAGGCAGCAGUGGGGAAUAUUGGACAAUGGGCGCAAGCCUGAUCCAGCAAUACCGCGUGUGUGAAGAAGGCCUGAGGGUUGUAAAGCACUUUCAGUGAGGAAGAAGAAAUGAGUGUUAAUACCAUUUGUUUUUGACGUUACUUACAGAAGAAGCACCGGCUAACUCUGUGCCAGCAGCCGCGGUAAUACAGAGGGUGCGAGCGUUAAUCGGAAUUACUGGGCGUAAAGCGUACGUAGGCGGUUUAGUAAGUCAGAUGUGAAAGCCCUGGGCUCAACCUGGGAACUGCAUUUGAUACUGCUAAACUAGAGUAUGGUAGAGGGAAGUGGAAUUCAGGGUGUAGCGGUGAAAUGCGUAGAUAUCCUGAGGAACACCAGUGGCGAAGGCGACUUCCUGGACCAAUACUGACGCUGAGGUACGAAAGCGUGGGUAGCAAACAGGAUUAGAUACCCUGGUAGUCCACGCC
rnacentral:rRNA from 1 species